AGGAUGCCUCUUUUAUUCAAGGAGAAACAGGGAAUCAUUUUGAAAGUGAAUAUAUACUUUAAAUUCAAUUUAAUAAAAAUAGGAAGAAAAAUGUGAUAAAAACAUUCUAUAAGAGUGAUUGUACAAUAAUGUGAAUGCAGCUAAUGCCUCUGAAUCAUGUCCUUGCUAAGUUUUCUUCUUAAAAAUAUAUUUUGUUUUACUUUAUGUGUAUGGGUGUUUUGCCUGCAUGUAUUUCUGUGUAUCAAGUGCAUGUCUGUUACCCACGGGGGUCAGAAGAUGGCACCAGAUUCUCUGGGAUUGGAGUUACAGAGAGGGUUAUGAGCUUCCGUGUGGGUUUUGGGAAUAGAACAUGGGCCCUUCACAAAAAAGGAUGAGUCAUAGUAUGGCUGAGUCAUCUUUCCAGUCCCAGUGCUUUUUUAUUUUUAUGUAUUUUCAACCAUUCUUCAAUAUCAUUUGCAUAUAAAUUAUCUCCCUUGAAUCUCUCUUUUUUGGACAUUUCUCUUUGAUUGUUAUUGAUUGAUUGAUUUGUUCAUUUAAUGAAUGUUUGAUUGCAUUAGAAAUAUAAAAAUGAAAUGCUCUCACAUUGCAUAAAAAAUAGUUCAUUUAUGUUUAAGCUAAAGCAACAUAUGUUCCAAAUGAGUGAAAAACUACUUUCUUGAAGUUUCCCCAAAUAUGUAAUAAGGAUGCCUAAAGAAGUGUUAUAUAAUACUUUAAGGAAACUAAAUGGCACUGGGUGACUGCAAAUGUUUCAGACAUAUUGGGGAUGUUCAAACCAAUGUCAAGUCAGAUUUUUCUUUUUUCUUUUUUAAUAAAUUUCAGCAAAAUAUACAUAGUAAAAUUUAUUAUUCCACCCCCUUAGCAGUAUACUGUUAUGCAAUCACACCAGUAUCUGUAGAACUCCUUCACUAUCUUGAGCUGAAACUGCUCUCAAUAAAUGAUAGUUCUCUGUUAGCCUCUUCCCAGCUUCUCUGGUGACUACUAGUCACCUUGAUCUGUGAAUCAAACCACCAAUGGAGUAGGUUAGCAGUUGUCUUGAUCAGGAAAAGAUGGAGCUUUAGCUUGUUAUGUUAACUAAGUCUUACCAUUUGAAUGGAAGCCUAUGACCCAGCUUAAAGUGGGGAGCACAUUUCAGCUAAGUUUGUAGUUCAUAAUGCAAAUAUGUUUGUGCAUUUCAGAUUUAUUUGUGGAGUAUAUUUUAUGUUGGGAGCAUUGUAUAGUCAUUCCCACAACAGCCAUUGCUAAUUUUUAAGUAAAUAUUUGUUUUAAAAUAGACUAGCAGUUCUGUGUGGCUACUAUAUGUUAAUCAUAAGGAGGUUUAGGUCAGUUCAUAUUUUUGGUUAAAUAUUGACUUUUUUGUUAUUGUACAAGUUCAGUUACUUCUGUUAGUAAUUCAUUAUUCUGUCAUUUCUUGAAUAUUUCUUUAUCAAACUAGAGUAAAGGAAACCAUCGAGAACUGGUCUGAUUGUUUCAUUCAUAAUUUAAAAAUAAUCAAGAUGUAACUCAUGCAUCAUAACCCUAUUACAAGGUAGAGAUUUUAAUGGUUUAGAAUAUUUUUAAUAUCAUACAACCAUCUUCAGUAUCUAAUUCCUGAACAUUUUUGUUAGUCUAGAGAAAUCUUAGCUGUCACCUCUUUUUUGUUUCCUAUAGUCCCUCAUAUCUACUAACCUAUUUUCUUUCAUGAUAGAUUUGCUACUGGGCAUUUUAUAUAAAUAGCUGAACUGGUCUGUGUCUUUAUGUCUGUCUUUCACAUAGUAUAAUACUUUAAAGAUUUCUCCACAUUGUGGGUGUUUUUUGGUUUUUUUUUUUUUUUGAUCAAAUACUAUUCCAUUGUUUGGAUAAGUAGCUUUGUUUAUUCAUUCAUUUAUUGAUUGAAAUUUGUAUCAUUUUGUCAUAAAUUAUUUUUCUGUGAAUAUUUUUGUACAAGUAUUUGUAUGAAUAUAUGUUUCUGAGUCUCUUUGUUAAAUAUUUAGGAGUGAAUCAAACAACCUUCAGUAUAUUUGUUGCUGUGAUCAAAUACCAUGACUCAAAGUAACCCACAAAAGAAAGGUUUGUUGUUGACUUAUGGAUCUAAUGGGCUAGAGUCCAUAAGGGCAGGGAAGGCCUGCCCUGCUACGGGAGCAGGAAGCUGGCUACUCACGUCUCAUCACGUCUUAUCCACAUACAGCAAGCAGAAAGAAUGAACAAACAGUAAAGUAAGGUCAAGGCUCCAAAGCCUCAGAGCCUGACCCCAGUGAUGCAUUUCCUCUAGCAAGGCUGCACCUCCUAGGAUUCACAACCUUCCCAAACAGCACUGCCAGCUGGGUACCAAGUGUUCAAGUCUUUGAGCCUGUGGCUGACAUUUUUUAUUCAACCACUGCUCUGGGUCAUUCAUCCAUAAAUUUUUUAAGGUUUUUGAGGACCACCAAAUGGUUUUCCACAGAGACCACUCUAUAUCCCCAGCAUUUGUAUAUAAUGGUUUCAGUCUCUUCUGAGUCUCAUCAACAUCUGUAAAUUUUCAUCUUAAAAAUGCUGCGACCACCCUUAUGACAUGGUAUCACCCUAGAUUUGAUUUCCCUACACCUUCCCUAUUUGGUGUUUAUGAGAUCUUGCCAUACAGAGUUUCAAAGUGAUACCUACUUACCAGAGCAUUAGGUUCAUUAACAGUUUUUAAAAUACCAUUCCUGAGUUUAUUCUGAAGAUUUAUAAACAUGUUUCAUGUGUUAGUUUUAUAUAUGAAAUAAUUUGGAGGCAUGCUUUCAGGAUUUUUUUCAUAAGCACAGCUUUUCUUCGAAAGUGUCAUCUAAAUCUUUCCAUCCCGUCACAUGGUGGCUCCUGCUGUUGUACAACGCUAAAAUAACAACAUUGUUUUCAUCCAUUAAAAUAUCAUUGGACGACAUCGUGAAUUGGCUCAUUUGCCUUAAUUUUUUUUUAACAAAAAAGGCAGUGUUUUGAGUUAUGCCAGAUGUACACAUGAGAGAUUUGAGUGCACUUGUAGAAUUUAAAUUGAAAUGCUAAUGAGAUUCUGACAGCCAGAAAAAACAACACAGCCUACAUUUUCAUCUGUUUUAUUAAAGUCAUUAUUUAACUGGAAAAACACAUUAUUUAGAGCUGUUUAUUUGUGUGGCAUUUGUAAUUCAGCUCUUAAAUUUUAUCCAAUUAAAGUGCCUCUCAUUCCAUUUCACUUAAUGUAGCAGACUGUAUUGUGCAUUCAUCUUCUUCCCGGUUUCAUUCAGUCGUACUGAUAGUAACUCGGGUGCAUGAAUGCAUUGGCUUUUCUCUCCAAGUGCUUACAUGUAUUGCUUCAUGCUGAAGUGAUGUUACGAUGACAUCUUUAUUUUUCACUUGUAGUAAAUCCAAUGAAAUUUCAUGGUAGAUUAUCACACAAGACUAUUUAUUGUUAUUUCACACUUUGGCUAUGUUGGAUAUUGCUCUAGGAUCCCGAAAAUGUGAAAG
rnacentral:lncRNA from 1 species